AUUGAACGCUGGCGGCAGGCCUAACACAUGCAAGUCGAGCGGCAGCGCGGGGGCAACCCUGGCGGCGAGCGGCGAACGGGUGAGUAAUACAUGGGAAUCUGCCUGGUAGUGGGGGAUAACUCUGGGAAACUAGAGGUAAUACCGCAUACGUCCUACGGGAGAAAGGGGGGGAUCUUCGGACCUCUCGCUAUCAGAGGAGCCCAUGUCCGAUUAGCUAGUUGGUGAGGUAAAGGCUCACCAAGGCGACGAUCGGUAACUGGUCUGAGAGGAUGGUCAGUCACACUGGAACUGAGACACGGUCCAGACUCCUACGGGAGGCAGCAGUGGGGAAUAUUGGACAAUGGGGGGCAACCCUGAUCCAGCCAUGCCGCGUGUGUGAAGAAGGCCUCGGUUGUAAGCACUUAA
rnacentral:rRNA from 1 species